rnacentral:rRNA from 1 species
CCUACGGGGGGCAGCAGUGGGGAAUAUUGGACAAUGGGCGAAAGCCUGAUCCAGCCAUGCCGCGUGUGUGAAGAAGGCCUUCGGGUUGUAAAGCACUUUCAGUGGGGAAGAAAGCCUUGGGGCUAAUACCCUCGAGGAAGGACAUCACCCACAGAAGAAGUACCGGCUAACUCCGUGCCAGCAGCCGCGGUAAUACGGAGGGUGCGAGCGUUAAUCGGAAUUACUGGGCGUAAAGCGCGCGUAGGCGGUCUGAUAAGCCGGUUGUGAAAGCCCCGGGCUCAACCUGGGAACGGCAUCCGGAACUGUCAGGCUAGAGUGCAGGAGAGGAAGGUAGAAUUCCCGGUGUAGCGGUGAAAUGCGUAGAGAUCGGGAGGAAUACCAGUGGCGAAGGCGGCCUUCUGGACUGACACUGACGCUGAGGUGCGAAAGCGUGGGUAGCAAACAGGAUUAGAUACCCUGGUAGUC